rnacentral:misc_RNA from 1 species
GAGGGUGUUCCUGUACAACUCAUAAAAAUAGCUCAUUGCCUUCAAGAUCAGGGUGGCCUCAGGGUGUUUUUAGGUGCACUUAUCCAAGGGGUACCAGCAAUGGCAAAUCUCCAAAAUGCACUAACAUGCUCUGGUAAAGCAUAUUCAAUGCCAACACGUGGACCGAUGAGUAUGUUUUCAGGCUCUGGUCCAUCCAAGAGUUCUAAACCACCAGGCGUAUAAAGGGGAUGAUUCGACCAUUCCUUUGAAAUCCCCAGUGCUUGACCAAUC